CUUCCAGUAGCACCUUAGAGACCAACUAAGUUUGUUCUUGGUAUGAGCUUUCAUGUGCAUGCACACUUCUUCAGAGACAUGCACACGAAAACUCAUACCAAUAACAAACUUAGUUGGUCUCUAAGGUGCUACUGGAAG
rnacentral:miRNA from 1 species